UAGAAGCUGGACUGAAUCUGUCA
rnacentral:piRNA from 1 species